GAAAUCUGACUUCACUCUAGAGUCAUCAAGAGAGUGUGGUGUGGACAGAACAGAGUCCAUAAAUGGACCCACACACUAUACAGAAUCCACUGAACUACACCCAGUCUAUUCAUUUAGGAAAGGA